rnacentral:lncRNA from 1 species
GUGUGGCGCCUGCGCAGUAAGGGAUCGUUGGAACUGGGCAGGAGGGGAUAGGGUCCGGCUCCUCGCCCUUUCCCGAGGCGCCUGCGCACUAGGCAGUCGGUCUUUGCCGUUACCGCUAUGUGUGGGGCGUGUGUGGAAUAACGUUAUUGCCCAGCGGAGCUGAGGGCCCCGGAGCUCGACCGCAGCGGCAGCGACGACAACAGCGGCGACGACGACGACGACGAGGUGGGGGGAGGACGGCGUGCGAGAGACUCACGGGACGCGACGCGCCCCGCCUCCCCCGUCCGGUCCCUCUCUCCACGGAUGACGUAGCUUUGCCAAAGACUUAGAAGCUAAGCAGAAAAUGAGCUUAACAUCCUGGUUUUUGGUGAGCAGUGGAGGCACUCGCCACAGGCUGCCACGAGAAAUGAUUUUUGUUGGAAGAGAUGACUGUGAGCUCAUGUUGCAGUCUCGUAGUGUGGAUAAGCAACACGCUGUCAUCAACUAUGAUGCGUCUACGGAUGAGCAUUUAGUGAAGGAUUUGGGCAGCCUCAAUGGGACUUUUGUGAAUGAUGUAAGGAUUCCGGAACAGACUUAUAUCACCUUGAAACUUGAAGAUAAGCUGAGAU